rnacentral:rRNA from 1 species
UAGGGAAUCUUCGGCAAUGGGGGCAACCCUGACCGAGCAACGCCGCGUGAGUGAAGAAGGUUUUCGGAUCGUAAAGCUCUGUUGUAAGAGAAGAACGUGUGUGAGAGUGGAAAGUUCACACAGUGACGGUAACUUACCAGAAAGGGACGGCUAACUACGUGCCAGCAGCCGCGGUAAUACGUAGGUCCCGAGCGUUGUCCGGAUUUAUUGGGCGUAAAGCGAGCGCAGGCGGUUUAAUAAGUCUGAAGUUAAAGGCAGUGGCUUAACCAUUGUUCGCUUUGGAAACUGUCAAACUUGAGUGCAGAAGGGGAGAGUGGAAUUCCAUGUGUAGCGGUGAAAUGCGUAGAUAUAUGGAGGAACACCGGUGGCGAAAGCGGCUCUCUGGUCUGUAACUGACGCUGAGGCUCGAAAGCGUGGGGAGCAAACAGG